rnacentral:rRNA from 1 species
CCUACGGGUGGCAGCAGUAGGGAAUCUUUCACAAUGGGCGAAAGCCUGAUGGAGCAACGCCGCGUGCAGGAUGAAGGCCUUCGGGUUGUAAACUGCUUUUAUAAGCGAGAAAUAUGAUGGUAACUUAUGAAUAAGGAUCGGCUAACUACGUGCCAGCAGCCGCGGUCAUACGUAGGAUCCGAGCAUUAUCCGGGAUGACUGGGUGUAAAGAGUUGCGUAGGUGGCAUAAUAAGUAGAGAGUUGAAACUGGUGGCUUAACCAUUGAGAAUGUUAGCUAAACUGUUAAGCUUGAGACCGUUAGGGGUAACUGGAAUUUCUGGUGUAGGAGUGAAAUGCGUAGAUAUUAGAAGGAACACCAAUAGCGUAGGCAGGUUACUGGGACGGUUCUGACACUAAGGCACGAAAGCGUAGGGAGCAAACGGGAUUAGAUACCCGAGUAGUC